rnacentral:rRNA from 1 species
UACGUAGGUCCCCAGCGUUGUCCGGAUUUAUUGGGCGUAAAGCGAGCGCAGGUGGUUUAUUAAGUCUGGUGUAAAAGGCAGUGGCUCAACCAUUGUAUGCAUUGGAAACUGGUAGACUUGAGUGCAGGAGAGGAGAGUGGAAUUCCAUGUGUAGCGGUGAAAUGCGUAGAUAUAUGGAGGAACACCGGUGGCGAAAGCGGCUCUCUGGCCUGUAACUGACACUGAGGCUCGAAAGCGUGGGGAGCAAACAGG